rnacentral:rRNA from 1 species
UACGAAGGGGGCUAGCGUUGCUCGGAAUCACUGGGCGUAAAGCGCACGUAGGCGGUUUCUUAAGUCAGGGGUGAAAUCCUGGAGCUCAACUCCAGAACUGCCUUUGAUACUGGGAGACUUGGAGUCCGGGAGAGGUGAGUGGAAUUCCGAGUGUAGAGGUGAAAUUCGUAGAUAUUCGGAGGAACACCAGUGGCGAAGGCGGCUCACUGGUCCGGUACUGACGCUGAGGUGCGAAAGCGUGGGGAGCAAACAGG